GGGGAGGCUGGGGGGGUGUGCAGCUGAGUGGCGGUUACCAUCUGUGCAUGGUGCCUUACCCUGUCUCUGCCUUCCAGGGCUCUGCAUCGCCCUGUGCCUGGGGGGCACCGUGGCCCAGAAUAACGGCACACAAGGUACCACUGAGGACUGUAACAACCAUGUGAUAUGCCCAGCAAACGCCAAGUGUGUGAACAACACCCACUGCACCUGCCUGGAUGGAUACCAGACAAGGGAGAAUCACCCCAUCUUCUUCACCGACCCAACAGAGAUCUGUGACGAUAUUAACGAGUGUCUGGGGCCGAGCCCGCCAGACUGCGGAGGCAAAGCAGGCUGCAAGAACGUGGCUGGGAGUUACUCCUGCACCUGCAGCGAUGGCUACGAGCCCAGCUCUGGGAAAGCCAACUUCACGCACGCGAGUGAGAACACCUGCCAGGAUAUUGACGAGUGUCAGGGCCUGAGCCCGGCAGACUGCGGACCCCACGCAAAGUGCACCAAUGUGCCUGGGAAUUACUCCUGCACCUGCAUCGAUGGCUACAAGCCCAGCUCUGGGAAAGCCAACUUCACUCACAAGUGGGGACACCUGCCAGGAUAUUGACGAGUGUCAGGGCCCAAGACCGGCAGACUGUGGACCCCACGCAAAC